GGCAGUCGUGGCAUAAUGGUUAUAGAGUCGGACCUGUAAUCCAAAGGUCGUGGGUUCGAGUCUCAGGUCUGGCA